CAUAGAAACAAGUAAGGCACAGAUUUUCACCAGCUGACUGUGUAUGUUUUGCAGGGCUGACGCAAGGUGGAACAGGCCUUUAUAUAUUACAAGCUUUGCUAACGUUUUAUAAUGAAACCUUGGUCUGAGUUCUUGGCUGAGCGGCGUGCCCAGGCUUGAGGAGGAAUCACAACGCGAUCCCUCGAGAAGCCAAAGCAUUCUUCUCAUCGCUCUCCACUGACUAGGUGAUCACUGACAUGCUAAAUAGUUUGGCUGGAAACCAUGGCUGCUCUCUCCUCCUUUUGAUCACAUACAGCUGGACAAGGAGGGGAACCCAGGACUCAAAAGCCCUAAACAACAGGAAGAAGAGAGUACACACACACGUCCUUCUCUAGUCAGAUCUCCUGAGUGAUGUCUGCUGAGCAUAAAGAUAUGCAUUGAAAACAAAGUUAUGCUCAGGUAAAACAAUCCCCUUUUCGCUAAGGCUACUUCUCUUUGAGGAGAAAGAAAAAGCUAUACUACUUCUGUUCCCAAAUAUUCUACUUCGUUUAAUGUUUUAUUCAGAAUCUCUUGCUAUUCUCCAGGUAAAAGACAUGAUAUUUUUCCUACUUCAUCUUACAGAACAAUAAUCGUGUUUCCACUCCUAAUCCUUUUUUCUGCUGCUUGAAGUCUUCUCAAGACUCCUUAUAAACUCUAGUCUGCUCAGCUUGCCACUUGGGCAGGAAUGGAAGCAGCAGAGGUGGUGGUAUCAAAGGAAGGAGUGUUUUAGGCCUAUUUGCAUCCUAUUUACAUUUACAAUAAUGCCACGUACUAGUUGUGCUGUAUGUGCUACAGAUUUUUCUUUCACUCAUGGCAAAUAGAAAAUCUAUAUCAGAUUAGAGUAUACUCCAUUUCAUAUUUACUGGAAAUCUUUCCAGUUCAUAGAUAAC
rnacentral:lncRNA from 1 species